GCAAAGGAGAGCUGGAGGAAUCGGACGAGGAACAGGCGCGAUAAGGGAUUGAAAGGAGAAAAUUGGAAAUCGCGUGAAUCAAUGUCAGCAGUGGAAUUGGCAGACUUGAACCUCAAACCAAACUGCGAAAGAGUAAUGCGAUUGAUGAGGAUCUGACCAUUAUCAGCAAACAAAUGUGGUAGCAUUCAAAUAUGUAAGAUAUCAGAAAAUGUAUUGAGAUACACUAAACUGUGGUUUGAUUGCACUCGAUUAGCUGUUUCCAUUUCUCGGACGUGCUGUCAGGAACGAUCUAACAGCCGUGGAGUGGAUGUAGCACAGAUUUCCCUGAUUGAUAACUUAUCCUGUAGGUUCAGAAUACGAGAAGGAACAUAUAAAAAAAAGUGCAGACCAUUCAGCCCAUGCCAACUCUUUAGAGCAAUCCAGUCAGUCCUGUCCCCUUGUUUUAUGCCUGCACCUUUGCAUAUUUCUCACAAAUACUAGUUUAUUUUUUUUUUGAAAUCAGUCAAGAUCCCAUUUCCUUUGCUGACUAAUUAAUCUAUUUUGUUACCUUCAAAUAUCUGUGCAUGUGAAUCCCUCAGACUCUGCACACUGUUUAGUGUUGUGUUAUUGCCUCUUCCUGUCCCUUCUGCUAAAACACAUCACUAUGAGAGAGGUAUCCCUGGAAAUUGAUUAAUGAGAAAUAUUUUUGAUCAAUGUUUUGUGACUGAUAGUGGAGUUACAGCGAAACUAUUUCCACUGAGAAGGGAAUUGAGGAUGAGCAGUAACAGUCUGAACACGAUGUCAGUACCAACAUAUUUUCAUGUUAAGUUUUCCCGAUUGUUAUAACUGUUUAAUUGUGCAGGGGCUGCAGAAUUCCACAUUCAAUCUGGAAGGUUGGAAAGUGUCAAAUUGAAAGAAAGCUGCUGUGCCUUCAGGUCCUGUGAGCUUCAUUAGAAUGGUGCUGUAGUUCAUCAGAGCAAACUGGUACAAAGGAUGUUGUCACAUGAGCGAGAGAGAGAUACAGAACUGGUUUAGCAUCGAAGACAGAGUGUAGUAGUGGAAAGAUGCUACACUAGUGGUGUUCCACACGAAUCAGUGCUGGGACCUCUACUGUUUGUAGUCUACGUAAAUAACUUGGAAGAAAACGUGGCUGGUCUAAUCAGUAAGUUUGCAGACAGUACAAAGAUUGGUAGAGUUGCAGAUAGUGAGAAGGAUUGUCAGAUGAUACAGCAGAGUAUAGAUCAUUUGGAGUUAUGGGCAGAAAGAUGACAGAUAUAGUUUCAUCUGGACAGGUGUGAGGUGAUGCAAUUUGGAAGGUCAAGUACAGGUGGACAUUAUAGAGUAAAUGGCAGAACUCUUAGGAAUAUUGAAAUGCAGAAGGAUCUGGGUGUGCAGGUCCACAGACGACUGAAAGUGAGAGUGCAGGUAGAUAAUUUAGUAUAAAAGGCCUUUGGCAUGCUUGCCUUCAUUGAAAGGUGCAUUGAUGAUAUGGACAGGCAAGUUAUGCUGCUGCUUUGUAGAACUCUAGUUAGGCCACACUUAGAAUAUUGCAUCCAGUUCUGGUCACCACAUGUGGAUGUGGAUGCUUUGGAGAGUGUAUAGAAAAGGUUUCCCAGGAUGUUGCAUUGUAUGGGGAAGAUUAGCAUUGAAGAAAGGUUGGAAAGACUUGGAUUGUUUAUACUGGGACACAGCAGGUUGAGAGAGUGGCCUGAGAGAAGUUUAUAUGAUUGUGAAUGACAUUGGGUACAGUGGAAUGUAUGAGAGUAUUUUUCCCAGGGCAGAGGGGUCAAUUACUGGGGAACACCAGUUCAAGCUGCAGGGGGAAUGUGUAAAAGAGAUAAGCAAGGCAAGUUUUUUCACACAAAGGUUGCUGAGUGCCUGAAAUGAUGAGAGACCAAUAAGAUACACCCACUGUGGUACUGGGUAUAGAUAAAUGUGUAACCUCACUGUGCACCAAUGAAUCCACACAGGGGAGAAACCAUUCACUUGCUUCAAGUGCAGGAAGGGAUUCACCAGAUCAUUGUACCUGCUGAAACACCAGGAAGUUCAUUCUGCCAAGAGAAUGUGGGAAAUAGUAUAAGGAUUCUGGUGAAUUAGCCCCCAUGAACUUGCUCACAUUAUUGAAAUAACCCUGAACAUUCAGAUUGCAGAAAAUGCUUUAAAAGUUCUCAACAAUUGAUGAUCCGUCAAUGGGUUUACACAAGUGAGAGACUGUUCCAGUGCUUUCACUUUCAAACUGGCUUCAGGUGAUCAUUUCACCUCAUUGCAUGCCAGUGAUGUCAUACUGGAGAGAGGUCGUUUGCCUGCAUUGAAUGUGGGAAGGGAUUUACUCAAACAUCCGGCCCCUGAAACAGUUCACAAGUAACCAUAGUGGUUGCAUUUUGCUAUUAAAUGUAUUUGGCAAUGAACACAUUUUAUUGUUGUCUGUUUCUACUGAUGUUAAAUUGACUUUCCUUCAAAUUAUAGGGGUUUAUUUUCUGGAUACAAUUCAAAUAAAUUAGCUUUGUAUUUAACACAAAACUUACAUUUUGUUUUCAAAUGUCCCAUGCGCAACUUAAUUUCUUUUGGCCUUCUUGGCGAGAGGAUUCAGAUACAGGAGCAGGAAUGUCCUUCUGUAAUUCCACAGGUCUCCGUGAGACCAUAGCUGGAUUCUUGUGUGCAAUUUUGGUCUCAUUAUUCUUGUGGAAGAAUGUUUUGGCUGUGGAGGGAGUACAAUGAAGGUUGACCAGAAUGAUUCCUGGGAUGACAGGACUGACAUGUGAAGAAAGACCGGAUCAGUUAGGACUGUAUUCACUCGAGUUCAGAAGAGUGGCUUUUCAGAGAAACAGAAGAAUUCUGACAGGACUACACAGGAUAAACGCAGGAAGGCUGUUAUCAAUAAACAGGAUGUCCAGAACCAUGGGUCAAACUUUAAAGAUAUGGGCUAAAUCAUUUAGGACUGAGAUAAGAAGUAAUUUCCUCACCUCUGAAAUUAUCUGCCACAGAAAGCACUUGAAGCCAAAACAUUGAAUAUAUUUAAGAAGAUUUAGAUAUAAUUCUUGGGGUGAAAGGGAUCAGGGUAUGGAGAGAAAGCUGGAACAGAUGGAUGAUCAGUCAUGAUGGCGUUAAAUGGUGGAGCAGGCUUGAAUGACCAAACAGCCUACUUCUAUUUUCUUUGUCAAUGGUUAUUAUUUUCCCCGAUACUUUUUUCCUCUUCUGAUCAUUAUUAUGGUUCUUUCCUCCCCUUUUUGCUGCUGAACUAUUUGGUGUUUUUUUUUAAUGUUGUAAGUAUGCCUUACUGUGAAGAUUGAAAAGUAUUUGUUUAACUUUCUGGCCCUUUCCUAGCUCCUCAUUGUUAUCCUUUGCAAAGCUUAUUCUGUAAAGGGGUUGAUGUUCACAGUUCUGUCCUCUUUUUAUUUAUUGAAAUAAUGAAUCGAUCACAAUUCACAUUGUUCCUUUAUAAUAAUCUAUAAAGCCUUGUGUAGUAGCAUUGUGAGAGAGUCCUAGCCACAACAAUGUACGUCAGUUUAAUAAUGUCCAACAUUGUGAUUAAAAAAACAAAUUUCA